rnacentral:lncRNA from 10 species
AAGACAUUCACUACACCAGAGGAGACAAAGGAAGCACGUUGCUGUUAUUGCUGUUCAUGGCCUUCUUCCAACAGUAAGGGAAGCUAGUUUGAAGAUAAACUGUACAAAGGAAAGUAAAACAAGAGAAGUGCAGCGAAAUGGUGCCGGAGCCGUGAUGCAGCUACAACCUAGAGUUCUCACAAUCUCUUAAUUUCCUGCUGUCGGCGAUAAAUGUGAUCAUUUUGGCCGAUUUGGUUCAGUUUUUCUGUUCCGUGAAGCUGAAAGCAUCCUGACACAGGGCACACAAUGCUGUUGAAGCCAUCAGAGUACCAGGAUGCUGAUCUCCACGGCAAGUGCCUGAGCAGAGGGAGCUCAGUGAAGAGGAACUGCUCCAGCACUACACAGGCAUUCUUGGUAGCUGGACAGUACUGGACCCAUCACAAUUUCAAUACUGGGAAGAGAAAAGCCAGUCCUCUGGGGAAAGAUGAAGCACUGGACCUACAAACUAACUACUUUCAACCCCUGGAUGAAUCUAGGAGCAGAUUAGUCCCGAUAUCAAGGCAAUGUCAAGAGUGAAGGGGAGGAUCAAGAUUUUUUUUGAGUGAUUGUUUCCUGGAAGGUACCAUUCAAUUGUCAGGAAUAUAGCCGGGAACAAAGGAAAAAAUACCUGCCUUCAUAGAUCAUAAAUUCUGGAGGAACAGAUUAAUAAAUAACAAAUGAAUUUACACUAUAAAAUCAGGCACACAUUGUGAAGGAAUUUGCUUUAGGCUUGAGACGGAGAAAAGGUACCUACUUUCCCAGACUCCUUGCAGUUGGAAUUUGCCAUGUGACCCACUUUUGGCAAUAGAGAGGAGAAAAAAAAAUAACAAGAAAAUGACCAUGGAAAGUAACAACAACUGAAAACGGAUAAAAUGAAGAUGUGUGAAAGAGCACAAGAGUGCAAAACCAAAAGUAUACAAGGAGUGUUUAUGCAGUAACCACUUUAGAAUGCCUUUCCUCAUGUUUGAAGACUUCUAAACUAGGGCAAGGACAGAUCCCAGCAACUACUGGAAGCAUAAUAAAGGAGAAGAAUGAGGCAUUUUCUUCUCUCAUAUACAGAUUAUAUGUAAUUAGGAUGCUAAGGAUAAUUUUGUAACAUAAAAACGGAGAUGCUAAGGAGAAUGGUUUCACCCUAGUUUAUAGAAGGAGGGUAUACUAUGGUCUAUCAAAGACUGAAAAUUGUCCUCUGCUAAUAAAGUCUCAAAUCAGGGCAAUUGGAUUUCUUUCUUUUUUUUUUUUUAUUAUACUUUAAGUUUUAGGGUACAUGUGCACAAUGUGAAGGUUUGUUACAUAUGUAUACAUGUUCCAUGUUGGUGUGCUGCACCCAUUAACUCAUCAUUUACAUUAGGUAUAUCUCCUAAUGCUAUCCCUCCCCACUCUCCCAGCCCCACAACAGGUCCUGGUGUGUGAUGUUCUCCUUCCUGUGUCCAUGUGUUCAAUUCCCACCUAUGAGUUGAGUUAGAGUUACUAGUCUCAAAUAAAUGCUUGGUAAUGCCAUACAAUCUAAACAUGUUGUCACUGUCAACUCACUAUCUCAUAUUCUGCAAUGAUACCCUUCUAUAUUCUGAAAUUCCUUCCCCAUUCUCAGCAGAUAGCCUCAGAUCAUAUAUCAUACACACAAUUGAACAUAUCACAUAGAAAUUUCAUCAGCUCACUGCCUCCAAUCCAAUGAACCUAACAUCUACUAACAUCAACACCAUCCAGGAAACCAUGACCUCACCAGAUGAACUAAAUAAGGCACCAGGGAAAAAUACCAGUGAAACAGAGACAUGUGACCUUUCAGACAGAUAAUUCAAAAUAGCUGUGUUGAGGAAACUCAAAUUCAAGAUGAUACAGAGAAGGAAUUCAGAAUUAGAUAAAUUUAACAAAGAGAUUGAAAUAAUUAAGAAUCAAGCAGAAAUUCUGGAGCUGAAAAACGCAACUGGCGUAUUGAGAAAUGCACCAGAGUCUCUUAAUAGCAGAACUGAUCAAGCAGAAGAAUGAAUUAGUGAUGUUGAAGACAGACUAUUGGAAAUGCACAGUCAGAAGAGAAAAAAGAAAAAACAAUGAAGCACGCCUACAGGAUCUAAAAAAUAGCCCCCAAAGGGCAAAUCUAAGAGUUACUGGCCUUAAAGAGGGGGGGCUCAACACCCAAGUACAAAAAGGUUAGAGAACACCAAGUAGAUUUAAUCUAAAGAAGACUACCUUGAAUCGUUUAACAAUUAAACUCCCAAAGGUCAAGGAUAAAGAAAGGAUACUAAAAGAACCAAGAGAAAAGAAACAAGUAACAUACACUAGAGCUCCAGUACACCUGGUAGCAGACUUUUCAGUGGAAACCUUACACACCAGGAGAGUGACAUGGCAUAUUUAAAGUGCUAAAGGGUGGAAAAAAAGCCUUUUACCCUGGA